rnacentral:tRNA from 1 species
UGGGGUGUAGCCAAGCGGUAAGGCAACGGACUUUGACUCCGUCAGUCGUGAGUUCGAAUCUCGCCAUCCCAACCA